UCAGCUUCAAAUGAGGAAUUCAAGAUUUGUUUAUUAUCCCAUAUCUUUCGUCAUUUCAUUAUCCUCUUAAAAAUGUUGUUUACAGGACAUAAUUGAAAGUGGUAAUCAUGAAAUUUAUGUAUCAUAUUUGCUAUGUUAAGCUAGGUAUAUUUGAGGCCUAAAGUUAUCCAAACCUGGUUCUUCUUAGGAUUUUCUGGAAGAAUUCUCGACAAUCGACAUCAUGGCGAAAAUACUACUCCACCUCAAAAUGGCACAGAGAGUGCAAUUGAGACAAUUGUCAAUCUUCUCAUUCGCUAUACGACGGUGGGUGCCAUAGGCAUGGGUGUGGUCUAAUUUUCUGGACAGGAAGCAAAUUAAACUCGCUUGGAAAUGGAGCACGAUUCACCAGAAUACACGUAAGGAAUUUCGAGAAAGCUGAGACAAGUCCAACGAGAAAUCAAUCAAAUCAAGGCAUGGAUUUCAAAUUAUCAAGCAUGUGGGAGACAAUGCGUGUGGAUGGGGCUCUAGUCAAGGCAAUUAACUAUGACUGAGGCCAGUUGAGGCUCGAAGAUGUAAACACGUUGCUGACUAAGGUCGCAAAGGAUUUCUCGCUGUAUUUUGGCAUUCUAAAUGCAAUUUCCGGUUAUUAUAUUUAUUUUGCUUGCUAAUUAUCUGUUGCUUGUUAAUUAAUAAUAAUUAUUUCCUCACUCG